rnacentral:rRNA from 1 species
GGACCCGACUGCUAUCGGAUUGAGAUUUAGCCAUGCGAGUCGAACGUCCCCCUGUUGCGGGGGGCGUGGCGUACGGCUCAGUAACACGUAGUCAACCUGCCCUGGAGACACGGACAACCCCGGGAAACUGGGACUAAUCCGUGAUAGGUCACCUCAUCUGGAAGGAGAGAUGGCCCAAAGGGGCGCGCGGGCUUCUUCUGCGCGUUCGCUCCAGGAUGGGACUGCGACCGAUCAGGCUGUUGGCGGGGUAAAGGCCCACCAAACCUGUAACCGGUACGGGCCUUGAGAGAGGUGGCCCGGAGAUGGACACUGAGAAAAGGGUCCAGGUCCUACGGGGCGCAGCAGGCGCGAAGCCUUCGCAAUGCGCGAAAGCGUGACGAGGUUAAUCCGAGUGAUUUCCGCUGAGGAGACCUUUUGUCGGCUGUAAAUAGGCCGGCGAAUAAGGGGAGGGCAAGCCUGGUGU